rnacentral:rRNA from 1 species
AUUGAACGCUGGCGGCGGGCUUAACACAUGCAAGUCGGACGAGUGGCGAACGGGUGAGUAAUGUAUGGGAACGUACCGGAUGGAGGGGGAUAACUGCUGGAAAGGGUAGCUAAUACCGCAUACCAUUAGAGGGGCCGAUGUCGGAUUAGCUGGUUGGCGGGGUAAAGGCUCACCAAGGCGACGAUCAGUAGCGGGUCUGAGAGGAUGAUCCGCCACACUGGGACUGAGACACGGCCCAGACUCCUACGGGAGGCAGCAGUGGGGAAUUUUGGACAAUGGGCGCAAGCCUGAUCCAGCCAUGCCGCGUGUCUGAAGAAGGCCUUCGGGUUGUAAAGUACUUUUGUCAGGGAGGCGUUACCUGAAGAAUAAGCACCGGCUAACUCCGUGCCAGCCGCCGCGGUAAUAC